rnacentral:rRNA from 1 species
UCUACGGGAGGCAGCAGUGGGGAAUAUUGGACAAUGGGCGAAAGCCUGAUCCAGCCAUGCCGCGUGUGUGAAGAAGGCCUUCGGGUUGUAAAGCACUUUCAGUGGGGAAGAAAGCCUUGGGGCUAAUACCCUCGAGGAAGGACAUCACCCACAGAAGAAGCACCGGCUAACUCCGUGCCAGCAGCCGCGGUAAUACGGAGGGUGCGAGCGUUAAUCGGAAUUACUGGGCGUAAAGCGCGCGUAGGCGGUCUGAUAAGCCGGUUGUGAAAGCCCCGGGCUCAACCUGGGAACGACAUCCGGAACUGUCAGGCUAGAGUGCAGGAGAGGAAGGUAGAAUUCCCGGUGUAGCGGUGAAAUGCGUAGAGAUCGGGAGGAAUACCAGUGGCGAAGGCGGCCUUCUGGACUGACACUGACGCUGAGGUGCGAAAGCGUGGGUAGCAAACAGGAUUAGAUACCCCUGUAGUC